UCCUCCAAAUUUUCAAUCUUUCCCUUUUUUUAAUAUUUUUUUAUCGGCAAAUGUUAGUAUGUUAAUAUUUUGUUGUGGGUGAGACUCCACCUUCAACAUCCUACACCCUACCAUCUAACCACCUUAUAACUCCCAUUUUUUGUUGAUGUUGUUGAUGGUGGGACUCAAACCCACAACCUCCUGCACUCCAUUCCUUAUGACCACCUUCUUCACCAUCAGACCACC
rnacentral:lncRNA from 1 species